GAGUACAUGGGCCAGUGGUCUACGCCGUGGCGUUUAGGUUGGACACCGUGAAUGCGGUGGCGCCCUUUACUAUAAAGGGAUCAUGAAACCCGCCAUCCGAGAGGGCGCAGGUUCGAAUCCUGCUGUACUCA